UCCCGGGGGGAUCCCUGCGUUUUCCCCGAGUGGGUACACCACGGGCUGAGUUCGCCCCGGGGAAGCGGGCAUCCCCAUUUGGUAGUACGUGAGGCGGGGAGAUCCCUGGACUUUCCUCGGCCCAUCCCCGGGAUAGAUCUCCCGAUGUCGAUAGGCCGGGGAGUAAACCCUCGACUGUCUCGCUCUCCCUACGACCGGUGGCGAUGGCCUCCCCUCCAGCCUCCACCUCCGUUCCGUGCAUCUCCAUCCGACGACCGAGCAGCGCCGCCCCCAGCACCCUCCUUCAAGAGAACCACCUCCACAGUCCGUCCCUCUGGCAGCGGUGAUAGUGAUGGACCGAUCAUCAUCCAGCUCCCCUCUGCCUCAAAGCUUCUAUCACCUCCGGCGACGACGAUGACCAGGAGGUCAUCCUCCUUUCACCAAGGUUAUUACCUCCUCCUCCUUCUCCUCUUCUAUUCGGUGUUUUUUCUUCUCCAUGGUGAUGCCUUCCCUGCUACACGCACUGACGAGCACCUGUAUAGAUCCAAGUAACUCGUCUUACGUCUGAGUUUUGUAUCACAAGUGAGCAAGUGUACACCUUACAUCCAUAUUUGCAGCACCUCUAACCAUCCUGAUCUCACAACUGAGCACAAUUACCUUUGUUUCCUUGUGAUGUUGUAUACACGAUGCUAAUCUAUGCACAAUAUUCUUUGUGAUUAAUUAACUCUUGUAAUGCUAUUUUUUGAGUCAGGCAUAGCUAACAAGCUGUAUAUUUGUACAAUGGCUUUAUGGAGGUGUAUAGUAUUAGCUUUCCUUUAUAAAUGGUUAGCACAACAUUUAAUUUCACCUGAAAUCAACAUUAUGACAAGCUGACUAUAACCGAACAAGGACAACUUUUAUUAUGCAGCCCAACUUCUUAGGGUUGAGAAUUAUAUCACAGGAUCGGCACCAUGGGCUGCAUUUACUUAUUUAAUCCUUGCACUUUUUCUAGAUGCUUCCUAUGAUCUUACUUGUUGUGAAUUAUCUUGCAAUACCAUUUUAUUUAACUCACCAUGUCAAGAGGACAUGCCCUGUUUUACAAUCGCUCGUUAGUCCAUGUUUUGCUUGGUUCUCCGAAAACAUGUGUGGCAUGAACCUGAACUGCACUUAUUCUUAAUGUGAUGUAUAACUUGAAGAUGGUUACUUCAGUGCACAGUGAGUGAUGCAUCACAUGACAUCCCUUGAAAUUCUUUUACUGCUCCCCUUCAAACUUGGCACUGUUCUUGAUUACAGUCUUGUUCCCACCAGAUGCAUGAACAUGAGCUCAAUACUUAAUACGACAGGUAUAUGACAUGAAUAGGCCUUGCUUGAUCAAGAAAACUAAUGAUACAAAUUGCAUCUGUUGGUAAACUUGGCCUAGAAAAUCACACAUGGAAGGGACUACUGGUCCUGUACUACCUUUGUCCUAAUUUUAACUAAGAAUCUUUUGGAUAAUCUGAAGUGUGCUUGUCUUGCUUUUAAUAAUGGUGUAGCAUAAACAUAUUAGUCAUUGGAAUUUAAUUCUGUUGAUGAAAGUAGCAUUAGUAUCAAGCUAAUUUUUCAGUUUAACUCUGGCCAUCAACAAAGUUGAAAAUUACUCUCAUUCAAGUUGUUCACUUUUGUACCAAGCUAUAGAACCAACGUUUGAGCAUACGUAAUCUUGAUAAUUGGCAUUGGUUUACUCAAGUUCAUUCAAAUUCUUUUUCGAGAAAACACGUGUUUCAUUUCAUUGAAAAGGUGGGGAAAACAAUACAAGAGCCUCUAAGGAGGGCUAUGAAAAUAUAUGAUGGGCGUUUAGUGGACAUCCCAGGUUGUCAGCAAAAUCAUUCUAAGGCCGAGGGCCCCUGCUCUAGACCAAAGGGCAGCUUCCUCCUUGAUGCACACGAGUGUGUUUGGGGCAUAGGGGAGGGCCCUACACCAGAGGGCAGCUUCAACCUUAGCCAUGAGAAGGUUUCAUGCCAGACUUGUCGGGAAAAUGGGCAAUCGCUGAGGAGAUGCAACAUGGUUUCCAUUGCCUGGUCGCAGAGGAGACAUCUCAGGUGGUGUGAUAGACCUUGACGCUGUAAACGUUCCGCUGUCCAGCAGCGAUCUUUUUUGGCCAAUCAGUGGAAGAACAAAACACGUGGAGGCGCCAACUCUUCCAGAUGAACUUCCAUGCGCUGUAUCAUGAGCUAGCAAAGUAUGUGCAUCCGUGCUCCUGCCGCUCCACUUCCAGGUGAUGGCGUCGGGUUGAUCAGAGAGGAUGAAGCUCUCAAGUUCCCGCCAAAGCAUUAGGUUUCCUAAAGAUAGAAAAUAAAAAUGUUCAAACAAGUUGAUGCUGGAAGUUUUAGUAAAGUAUCUAUUUCAACAAGAAAACCUUUUGCUAUGGAUGUCUCACAUAUGGGCAUAUUUUAAUGGAGCUAAAUGCUUAUUCUUGUUGGAUUUUUAACCGUCGUUAGUAUUUUUAAAAACAUGAUUUGCACACUAAAUUUAUCCUCAGUAGUGUUGUGUAAUUUGUCCGACUCGGCCAUAUAACAUAUUGUUAGCGUGUAAUUGGGUUGAAGUGUUAAUUUGCUGAUUAUGUGUGUAUUCCUAUUUUCUCCAAAAAAAUCCUGAAUUCUUGUGUCA